AGUGAACGCUGGCGGUAGGCCUAACACAUGCCAGUCGAACGGCAGCACAGUAAGAGCUUGCUCUUACGGGUGGCGAGUGGCGGACGGGUGAGGAAUACAUCGGAAUCUACUUUUUCGUGGGGGAUAACGUAGGGAAACUUACGCUAAUACCGCAUACGACCUACGGGUGAAAGCAGGGGAUCUUCGGACCUUGCGCGAUUGAAUGAGCCGAUGUCGGAUUAGCUAGUUGGCGGGGUAAAGGCCCACCAAGGCGACGAUCCGUAGCUGGUCUGAGAGGAUGAUCAGCCACACUGGAACUGAGACACGGUGCAGACUCCUACGGUAGGCAGCAGUGGAGAAUAUUGGACAAUGGGCGCAAGCCUGAUCCAGCCAUACCGCGUGGGUGAAGAAGGCCUUCGGGUUGUAAAGCCCUUUUGUUGGGAAAGAAAAGCAGCAGGUUAAUACCCCGCUGUUCUGACGGUACCCAAAGAAUAAGCACCGGCUAACUUCGUG
rnacentral:rRNA from 1 species